GAUGAACGCUGGCGGCGUGCCUAAUACAUGCAAGUCGAACGAAACUUCUUUAUCACCGAGUGCUUGCACUCACCGAUAAAGAGUUGAGUGGCGAACGGGUGAGUAACACGUGGGCAACCUGCCCAAAAGAGGGGGAUAACACUUGGAAACAGGUGCUAAUACCGCAUAACCAUAGUUACCGCAUGGUAACUAUGUAAAAGGUGGCUAUACUACCGCUUUUGGAUGGGCCCGCGGCGCAUUAGCUAGUUGGUAGGGUAAAGGCUUACCAAGGCAAUGAUGCGUAGCCGAAUUGAGAGGUUGAUCGGCCACAUUGGGACUGAGACACGGCCCAAACUCCUACGGGAGGCAGCAGUAGGGAAUCUUCCACAAUGGGCGAAAGCCUGAUGGAGCAACGCCGCGUGGGUGAAGAAGGUCUUCGGAUCGUAAAACCCUGUUGUUAGAGAAGAAAGUGCGUGAGAGUAACUGUUCACGUUUCGAGGGUAUCUAACCAGAAAGCCACGGCUAACUACGUG
rnacentral:rRNA from 1 species